CCAUUUAUAGAGUAUACAUUUUAAAUUUCAAGUCUCUUACUUCAAAAACAUAGGACUUUCAUACAAACUUGCAACCCCCGUUUUACCCCCUUAGAGGUCGAGUUUUGUAAAAUCCGUUCUUAGCGGAUGUCUACGUCUUAUAAGAAGCCUACCUGCCAAAUUUCAAGUUUGUAGGUGUUAUAGUUUCGGAGAUUUCGUGAUGAAUGACCUUUCGCG
rnacentral:misc_RNA from 1 species